CCUGAGCUGCACCGGGCUGGGAGGAUAACAAUUAUUGGGAGAGGUUUAAAAAAAAAAAUCAUUAUCAAAUAACUAUAGCUUGAAAAAGUUGGCGGGCUGGAGGGAAAACGUGGCCUGGAUUGCGCGGUGGCUGCCUCCGCUCCGGGCGCGCCGCGCCGCGGUAGCCAAAAAUGGAAGGAAGCACAUCUGUAACGCAUUUAUGUGAUGUUCACCUUUGAGACCGCGCGGCUGCAAGGAGGCGUCCAGAACCCAACUGACAAAGAGACUUGCAGAAAUUGUACCCUCCCCGCGGGCGGCUGAUUGGAUGGAGCAUGCCCAGAAGGGACAUAGGAUCACUUCCUUCUCCCAAAGCUACCAAUCAGGAUAUAUGCUCCGUGGGGACAGGGACUUUGUCCAGCUUCUUCACCCAGAGGCACCAGUGAGGGCAGGAAAGUGAAGAGACUGAUUCCCUCAACAAAGCCGGCAGUUUUAGGAAGUCACCGAGGCAGCUGUGAGCCGAGCCCG